UAAGCUUCUUAGUCUUUAUUCUGCUGCAGUGGAACAACUUUGUUCCUCUGCUGUCUGACUCUACCUGAAAACAUGUUACUUUACUUCUUGCUGCUUUUCUCUCUCUGCAUAGCCAUGGGCUCCAUGAACACCAUCACACAGGAACAGAGGGAACAAGCUGUUUCAGAGGGAAGAAGCACCAGUUUGAGCUGUGAAUAUACUGGUUCUAUCUACAAUAUCCAGUGGUACCGACAGCAGGAGAGAUCCAGACCAGAGUUCCUGCUCUACAUGACAGAGGCAGGACAGAUUCAUCCAUCUGGUUCAGAGUUUUCGGUGUACAUCAACAAAACGGUGAAACAAUCGAAGCUGCUGAUCUCCUCUGCAGCACUGUCAGACUCUGCUGUGUACCACUGUGCUCUGGAGCCCACAGUGACAGGAAACCCCAGAACUCUGUACAAAAACCUGCAAUACUUCAAAACCUCCACUAGAGGACCCCAAACAUCCAUUUGUAGGUCCACAAGGUGUACAGUAGCUCCAUCCCCUUUAGUCUGCUGUCACAGUGACCACACCAACCAGAAUCCUAAAAAAUAUUUUGCUUUUUCUUCUGGAGUUUAUUUGGAUAAUUUGCGCCCAAACAUGUUCAUCUCUGGGACAGAACCUGUUUCCUAAUUGUUAAUGUGAAGAAUACUUUAAUACCCAACUGCAUGUGUGGUCUUUUCAGCAGCACAAAGGACGAUGUAUUUGGCCCCAGAAUGUUGAGUCCUCAGAGGGCUCCCUAAUCUCAGGAGUUCACAAGCUUUUAUAGAGGUAAUGACAUCUGAAUA